CCAAAAAGGAGAAGGGAUGAAAGAUAAGGGUGGCUUCAGACAUGUGUGUCAAGCCAACCAAUUCCCCCCUCUCUCUCUUUCUCUCCACCCAAAACAAAACUACUGUCCCAAACUUCCCAAAUUGCCCCUCUUCAGGCCAGGAAACUCUCCACCUCCCUUCCAUCAAGGGGAAGACUCAGUAGCCAGCUCCUGUUCCCGUUUUAUAUGGGGCCUUUGCUCCCUUUUGGUCGCGGUCAGACACGGAGAACAGGGCAAGGAACCUCCCUCCCCUGCCCUUCUUUCUCUCUCAAUCUCUUUCUCUCCUCUCCUCUCUUUAUUUCAUCGCAAGUCGGUGCCUUUUUGCCUUCUCCCUUCCUUCUGUGGUUAUCUUAUCUUUCCUCCUCCCCCCUCCCCCCCUCUCCUCCUCCCCCCCUGUUUUUUUGUCUCUGGGAGAGUUGGUGAUGGUGAUGAAGAAGGGGAGGAGGGUAGCCAUGGAGUCCUCUCCGUCCUCGGCCUCUUAUUUGGUUGGGGAAGAUGCCAGGGCGUGGUUCAGGCACCAGAGCCUGUUGCAGGACUACGAGGAGUUGCUAAAGGUACCUAGAGUUUGUCUUCUGAAUUGUUUUCCUUAACCCCUUUUCCUCUGUUGAUUUCCACAAGCGUAGGGCCUUCGUUGAUGGAUCUAAGUUUAAAAAGUGUCAGACAUUCCUAUUGGGGUUUUGGCUUCCAAUUGAAAGGAAACUGAAGCAAAGAGGAAGCAAUUGCAAAAGGCCCAUCAGAAGAAACUUAAGCUCCUUGCUGAAGUCAGAUUCUUGCGGAAAAGAUAUAGGUGCUUAAUGAAGAAUCCAUCGCAAAAAACCACAUAUAGACUCAAAAAGCAAUCUCCCAAAAUCCCAGCCCAAGUGGUUUGCCAUGGUCGAGCAUCAAAUCCGGUGACUCAAGAGCAAGUCCAUCAAAAAGAUAGAAGUUACAUAGGAAGAGAAGCUGCUGUCCCAAGCACUUCUGCAGUAUUAGACUUGAACCAGGUUUCAUCACCGAAUGGUGAGGAAAUGAAGGAGUUUCAAGUGCAAUGGGAGCCCCUGAAGGUUGGUAAGUUGAACAAGUGUUCGACAGAGGGUGACCUUGCGGCGAAUGAUCUAAGGUUAUCGAUAUGUCGAGAUGUUGGGAAAGGAGUGAACCGUGCCGGAAAGAGGAAACUUACAUGGCAGGACCAUGUAGCUUUGAAGGUGUAGAAUCUUUGGUGCAUAUUGGGUGAAAGACACAGACUGUUAUGCCUCUCCAUUCGUUUAUCUGUGAAUUUUACUUUUGCUACCAAUCUUUGGAUUGUAAAUAUAACUCUCAGACAUUAGGUAUAGAUGUUUUAUACAGCGAACUUUUUAUAGCUGUAGAGAUGAUGCCUGGGCUAUGAAGAAUCAAUUCUUUCUUGUGUUAUUGAAACGUGAAACUCUACUAUGCUCACAGAUUCAUGAGGGAAAAUAUGAGUUUGGUAAAUUGGUGGAGCACUUGUAGACCUUCUACCUCAUUUGACAUCUAUAAAGCCAUUGAAAAAUGGUUAAGUCCUUCGCCAGGAAGUGUAGAACUACUUGCUCAACUAUUCAUUUGCUUAUGAACUAUCUGAAACCAUUUA